rnacentral:rRNA from 1 species
CACCGCCCGUCACUCUCCCCUGUCAAAAUGCAACAAAAAUACCUAAUCCCAAAGCGCCGACAAGGGGAGGCAAGUCGUAACAUGGUAAGUGUACCGGAAGGUGCACUUG